GGAACUUUUAUUUAUGAGCGGUUUCUUCCUCAAGGCUUUUGUAAAUGAAUG
rnacentral:sRNA from 1 species